rnacentral:rRNA from 1 species
CCUACGGGGUGCAGCAGUGAGGAAUAUUGGUCAAUGGACGAGAGUCUGAACCAGCCAAGUAGCGUGAAGGAUGACUGCCCUAUGGGUUGUAAACUUCUUUUAUAUGGGAAUAAAAUGUUCCACGUGUGGGAUUUUGUAUGUACCAUAUGAAUAAGGAUCGGCUAACUCCGUGCCAGCAGCCUCGGUAAUACGGAGGAUCCGAGCGUUAUCCGGAUUUUUUGGGUUUAAAGGGAGCGUAGGUGGAUUGUUAAGUCAGUUGUGAAAGUUUGCGGCUCAACCGUAAAAUUGCAGUUGAAACUGGCAGUCUUGAGUACAGUAGAGGUGGGCGGAAUUCGUGGUGUAGCGGUGAAAUGCUUAGAUAUCACGAAGAACUCCGAUUGCGAAGGCAGCUCACUGGACUGCAACUGACACUGAGGCUCGAAAGUGUGGGUAUCAAACAGGAUUAGAUACCCCGGUAGUC